CCACUCAUGCUCAAGAAUUAGUUAGUGUAGUCAUGCUAGCUGCAAAUUCACUAUAACAAAUAAAUAAAAACGAAUGACCGAUGUGAACACUAUACUAAUAUUAUCUCAAAACUAUAUAUUUUCACUAUCUAUCUUUUUCAUCAAAUUUUCUUCUCUUUCUUAUUUUUAUCUGUCUUCAAAUUUAUUUCUCUCUUCCAUUUGCCACACUUAUGAAACCCUCUUUUGUCUUAUCCUAUAUAUGCGGUGCAAAUGCAAGGGGAAGAAAGUUUAAUUUCAUGCAUGACACAUUCUCCGAAUGAUGAUAGCUAUUUUAAGAAAGAAAAACCUCCACAUGCAUCAGAAUAAAAUGUCUAUGAACAACAAAUGUAUCACCCCAACCAGCUAUCUACUCCACCGAUAUAGUAUUGAAUGAACCAAACAUAAGCAUGCAUAUUACAAAAAGCAUUCUCUUUAGCCUAACCAUAAAGUAGAUCUAAAAGAAAUCCAAUCUAUAAAAGUUGAUAGUACGGUUAAUAUGUCUAAUUUUAUAUAAUAAAAUAACAAAAUUAUCCUUUAUAUAUAAAUAUAUUU
rnacentral:lncRNA from 1 species